rnacentral:rRNA from 1 species
GACGAACGCUGGCGGCGUGCCUAAUACAUGCAAGUUGAGCGAUGAAGAUUGGUGCUUGCCCCAAUUUGAAGAGCAGCGAACGGGUGAGUAACGCGUGGGGAAUCUGCCUUUGAGCGGGGGACAACAUUUGGAAACGAAUGCUAAUACCGCAUAACAACUUUAAACAUAAGUUUUAAGUUUGAAAGAUGCAAUUGCAUCACUCAAAGAUGAUCCCGCGUUGUAUUAGCUAGUUGGUGAGGUAAAGGCUCACCAAGGCGAUGAUACAUAGCCGACCUGAGAGGGUGAUCGGCCACAUUGGGACUGAGACACGGCCCAAACUCCUACGGGAGGCAGCAGUAGGGAAUCUUCGGCAAUGGACGAAAGUCUGGCCGAGCAACGCCGCGUGAGUGAAGAAGGGUUUCGGAUCGUAAAACUCUGUUGGUAGAGAAGAACGUUGGUGAGAGUGGAAAGCUCAUCAAGUGACGGUAACUACCCAGAAAGGGACGGCUAACUACGUG